GAUGAACGCUAGCGGCAGGCUUAAUACAUGCAAGUCGAGGGGCAGCGGGGGUAGCAAUACCUGCCGGCGACCGGCAAACGGGUGCGGAACACGUACACAACCUUCCUUUAAGUGGGGGAUAGCCCAGAGAAAUUUGGAUUAAUACCCCGUAAGAUUAUGAGAUGGCAUCAUUUUAUAAAUUAAAGCUCCGGCGCUUAGAGAUGGGUGUGCGGCUGAUUAGGUAGUUGGUGUGGAACGGUCCACCAAGCCUUCGAUCAGUAACUGGUGUGAGAG
rnacentral:rRNA from 1 species